rnacentral:rRNA from 1 species
GAUGAACGCUAGCGGAAGGCUUAAUACAUGCAAGUCGAGCGGUAGGUGGCUUCGGCCAUUGAGAGCGGCGCACGGGUGAGUAACGCGUACAUGACCUGCCUGUCAGAAGGGGAUAGCCCUGGGAAACUGGGAUUAAUACCCUAUGGUAUUGAUAUUAUGAAUGAUAUCAAUUAAAGUUGAGGCGCUGACAGAUGGAUGUGCGUCUGAUUAGCUAGUUGGUAGGGUAACGGCCUACCAAGGCGACGAUCAGUAGGGGGCGUGAGAGCGUGGUCCCCCACACGGGUACUGAGACACGGACCCGACUCCUACGGGAGGCAGCAGUAAGGAAUAUUGGUCAAUGCCCGCAAGGGUGAACCAGCCAUUCCGCGUGGAGGAUGAAGGCCCUAUGGGUUGUAAACUUCUUUUAGAUGGGAAGAAAAUGCCAGAUGUAUCUGGUACUGACGGUACCAUCAGAAUAAGCACCGGCUAACUCCGUGCCAGCAGCCGCCGUAAGAC